AGAGUUUGAUCCUGGCUCAGAACGAACGUUGGCGGCGUGGAUUAGGCAUGCAAGUCGAACGAGAACCUUUGGGCAACUGAAGGGGAAAGUGGCGAAAGGGGCAGUAAGGUAUGGGUAACCUACCCCGGGGAUUGGGAUAGCCUUCCUAACGGAUGGGUAAUACCAGGCGAUCUGGCGAGGACGCGUGUUCUUGCCAGGAAAUGAGUUUCGCCUCGGGAGGGGCUCAUAUAGUAUUAGCUUGUUGGUGGGGUAACGGCCUACCAAGGCAAAGAUGCUUAGCGGGUGUGAGAGCACGACCCGCGCCACUGGCACUGAGACACUGGCCAGACUCCUACGGGAGGCUGCAGUCGAGGAUCUUCGGCAAUGGGCGCAAGCCUGACCGAGCGACGCCGCGUGUGCGAUGAAGGCCU
rnacentral:rRNA from 1 species